rnacentral:tRNA from 1 species
UCUGGAUAGCUCAUUUGGUANAGCAAAGGACUGAAAAUCCUCNUG